ACUGCUUAAAGGAGAGUUCUCUGAAGGGAAGACAGGACAGAAGACAGUUGAGAACUUCAGCUGGCUGGAUAAGGCCUUUGAUUAUCAACAGUGCUUGACAACCAGGCUUGCACUGACCCUAAAAGCAGCUUCUCACCAGCUGACUCCAAACAACUCAAUUUUGAUCAGGGGUGUCACAUCUAGACACGAUUUUUGUGGGUGCCCAAAAUUUGCAUUGACCCUAAAUGCUGUGUCUCACCAGUGCCUAGAAACAACUCUAUUUUGGUCUACCAACUGUUUUUGGUUGUUUUGGCGAGUGCCCAACCCUCUGACUGCCAGCAAUAAUUUUAAACAAAGAAUGAAGUUCAGCAUUAAUUUAGCAGGGAUUAACAGUCCCCUGUUGCAAGACAUGCUUAUGUAGAGCAUGUGGGUGAGAAACAGGUUAAUAUUCAAGUCCAUUUUUACUAUAAAUUCGCCACCCUGCCCAGUAGGUGGCGAUAUGCACAAAGAAUGCGAAUCGCCAAAAACAAAAAAAGAAGAAUGUGAAAGUGAAAGUGGAGAUUUAUAUUAAAAAAUGACUUAAAUAUUGAUUUGUUUCUCACCCACACCUAUCAUAUCGCUUCUGAAGACAUGGAUCUAACCACUGGAGUCAUAUGGAUUACUUUUAUGCUGCCUUUAUUUGCUUUUUGGACCUUAAAAGUUCCAGCCACAAAUCAAAAUCAAAUCACAAUAAAGUGAUUUGAUUUGAUUUGAUUUGAAAAGUUCCAGCCACCAUUCACUUGCAUAGCAUGGACCUACAGAGCUGAAAUAUUCUUCUAAAAAUCUUCAUUUGUGUUCAAGAGAAGAAAGAAAGUCAUGCACAUCUAAGAUGACAUAAGGUCCUGCAGUUCUUGGUUGUUCUGUCUGGCCUUCAUGUGUAGAUGGAAUUUGUACUGAGCCGAGCAGAGCUGCAGCAGAUACUGGCAGGUCUUCUGAGUGUCGGUCUGAAACAGACAGUUACGGAAGUCUGGCCAGGCAGGGAGUUCUGCCUAGAAUCCCACUGCAUUUGGACGGUAGCAGGAAUUAUAUGUUUUGAUGGUAUUUGUACCUCAGGCUGAUGUUCUCCAAACUCUGCCUGCAGUGCCAGAGACGCCAAGAUCAUAGCAUUUUCCAUGUCACAGCGCACUCGCUCCUCUAGGAAAUCCUUGCGCAACUGCAAAAAGGUCAUACAGGCUUGGAACAACAUGAGAUACAAAACUAGGUGCAUUCUGAGGCAGACUGAUAAAUUAGCAAGUCAAAGCUGAACUCCUGUACAUGUUUGGACAUGAUCAUCCUUCCAACCAUCAGGCGCCACCUUUGAAAGUUUGGCAUCAGGUUCAACAAAGAAGAACUCGUCAUCUACAGAAAAGAAUAUAGACAAACUGAUUAUUAGAGUUACCGACAUCAUAACAAGCAAAGCAGUCUCUUGAUUGGCGCUGAAGCGUUGGGAAGGAUGAGUCAGAGGACUUAAUGAACCGUCUAUGGACACAAACCAUCCGUGUCCAUUAGAGCUGUCACGCAGAAGCAGUGUGUCAGAGAGAGAACAACAGAAUUAUUUGCUUUGCUAUUACACAUUUCGUAAUCAAAUAACACUGUACUGUUUACCUGGAACAGGUAUCGUUAUAUAAGCUGCAUUAAAUCAUGUACUGCUAAAUAUCAGUUAGGUUUUUUUUUCUCUGCAUUAUUCUGCAUUCACAAUGUAACUUGCAUUAAGUGAUUUCAAACCGAGUCCAGUUCAAUCGGAUUACUUUAACUUCAUCACCCCACCAAAAUGAAACUACACUCCUACCAAAAGCAAGAUACUUA